rnacentral:rRNA from 1 species
AGGGUUUGGAUCAUGGGCUCAGAACGAACGCUGGCGGCGCGCCUAACACAUGCAAGUCGAACGAGAAUCCGGGGCAACCCGGUAGUAAAGUGGCGAACGGGUGAGGAAUACAUGGGUAACCUGCCCUUGAGGAUGGAAUAACCCGCCGAAAGGCGAGCUAAUGCCAUAUACGCUUGUUAUCUUGCGGGAUAGCAAGGAAAGCUAAACCGAGGGUUUGGCGCUCAAGGAGGGGCUCAUGUCCUAUCAGCUUGUUGGUAGGGUAACGGCCUACCAAGGCAACGACGGGUAGCUGGUCUGAGAGGAUGAUCAGCCACACUGGCACUGAGACACGGGCCAGACUCCUACGGGAGGCAGCAGUAAGGAAUAUUGCGCAAUGGGCGAAAGCCUGACGCAGCGACGCCGCGUGGGGGAUGAAGGUUUUCGAAUUGUAAACCCCUUUCAGGAGGAAAGAGAAGGUGGGUUACCACCUAGACGGUACCUCCAGAAGAAGCCACGGCUAACUACGUGCCAGCAGCCGCGGUAAUACGAAGGUGGCGAGCGUUGUUCGGAUUUACUGGGCGUAAAGAGCACGUAGGCGGUUAGAUAAGCCUCUUGGGAAAGCUCCUGGCUUAACCGGGAAAGGUCGAGGGGAACUGUCUAGCUAGAGGGCGGGAGAAGAGCGUGGAAUUCCCGGGUGUAGCGGUGAAAUGCGUAAAUAUCGGGAAGAAGGCCGGUGGCGAAGGCGACGCUCUGGAACGAUCCUGACGCUGAGUUCGAAAGCGUGGGG